rnacentral:rRNA from 1 species
UACGAAGGGUGCAAGCGUUACUCGGAAUUACUGGGCGUAAAGCGUGCGUAGGCGGUUUGUUAAGUCUGUCGUGAAAGCCCUGGGCUCAACCUGGGAAUUGCGAUGGAUACUGGCAAGCUAGAGUACGGUAGAGGAUGGUGGAAUUCCCGGUGUAGCGGUGAAAUGCGUAGAGAUCGGGAGGAACACCCGUGGCGAAGGCGGCCAUCUGGACCAGUACUGACGCUGAGACGCGAAAGCGUGGGGAGCGAACAGG